rnacentral:rRNA from 1 species
UGGGGAAUAUUGCACAAUGGGGGAAACCCUGAUGCAGCGACGCCGCGUGAGUGAAGAAGUAUUUCGGUAUGUAAAGCUCUAUCAGCAGGGAAGAAAAAGAACCAAGGUUCUUCAGACGGUACCUGACUAAGAAGCCCCGGCUAACUACGUGCCAGCAGCCGCGGUAAUACGUAGGGGGCAAGCGUUAUCCGGAUUUACUGGGUGUAAAGGGAGCGUAGACGGCUGGGCAAGUCUGAAGUGAAAGCCCGGGGCUCAACCCCGGGACUGCUUUGGAAACUGUGCAGCUGGAGUGCAGGAGAGGUAAGUGGAAUUCCUAGUGUAGCGGUGAAAUGCGUAGAUAUUAGGAGGAACACCAGUGGCGAAGGCGGCUUACUGGACUGUAACUGACGUUGAGGCUCGAAAGCGUGGGGAGCAAACAGG